rnacentral:rRNA from 1 species
GACGAACGCUGGCGGCGUGCUUAACACAUGCAAGUCGAACGGAAAGGCCCUGCUUUUGUGGGGUGCUCGAGUGGCGAACGGGUGAGUAACACAUGAGUAACCUGCCCUUGACUUUGGGAUAACUUCAGGAAACUGGGGCUAAUACCGGAUAGGAGCUCCUGCUGCAUGGUGGGGGUUGGAAAGUUUCGGCGGUUGGGGAUGGACUCGCGGCUUAUCAGCUUGUUGGUGGGGUAGUGGCUUACCAAGGCUUUGACGGGUAGCCGGCCUGAGAGGGUGACCGGCCACAUUGGGACUGAGAUACGGCCCAGACUCCUACGGGAGGCAGCAGUGGGGAAUAUUGCACAAUGGGCGGAAGCCUGAUGCAGCAACGCCGCGUGCGGGAUGACGGCCUUCGGGUUGUAAACCGCUUUCGCCUGUGACGAAGCGUGAGUGACGGUAAUGGGUAAAGAAGCACAGGCUAACUACGUG